UACGGGAGGCAGCAGUGGGGAAUAUUGCACAAUGGGCGCAAGCCUGAUGCAGCCAUGCCGCGUGUAUGAAGAAGGGCCUUCGGGUUGUAAAGUACUUUCAGUCGUGAGGAAGGUGUUAAGGUUAAUAACCUUAGCAAUUGACGUUAGCGACAGAAGAAGCACCGGCUAACUCCGUGCCAGCAGCCGCGGUAAUACGGAGGGUGCGAGCGUUAAUCGGAAUUACUGGGCUAAAGGGCACGCAGGCGGUUAAUUAAGUUGGAUGUGAAUCCCCGGGCUUAACCUGGGAAUGGCAUUCAAGACUGGUUAGCUAGAGUCUUGUAGAGGGGGUAGAAUUCCAUGUGUAGCGGUGAAAUGCGUAGAGAUGUGGAGGAAUACCGGUGGCGAAGGCGGCCCCUGGACAAAGGACUGACGCUCAUGUGCGAAAGCGUGGGGAGCAAACAGGGAUUAGAUACC
rnacentral:rRNA from 1 species